UUUUUUUAUUAAACACAAAAAAAGUUCUAUCUUUGGCAAAUGUGAAAGCACUUUCACACCAAAAGUAAAAGGAAUAAGCCUCAGGCUG